rnacentral:misc_RNA from 1 species
UCGUUAUUAAAUGAAACUGUUACGCAUUUUUCCUUGUUCACAUAUGGUAAUAAUAGUACAUAAUAUAUAAUUAUUUGGACUUAAUGUAACAUCAUAUGCCAGAGACCAAAUGGUACAAAGUACACAAGAGGUUGCAUAAAGCUUCAUACAGUCUUUCUGAUAGUCCGCAUCUUUAUAGACAUGUCUAUUUCACUAAACCUUUCUUCGACACAUCUCGUCUAGAUCACCUUGUUUUUACUUGUUAAUCCGUAGCCGAAUGGAAAGAGAGGUUCAUAGGAGUUCUGUUCUUGAUGCAGGGGUAAUUGAUCUACACUCUUAAACCAUGUCAUAGGGAGGGUUCCAUGGAAUUCAAAAUCUCCGAAUAUGACAUCAGUGAUACCAGUUCCCUCAGUGCCCGGUAACCAUGCAGCAACGAAGGCAUCCAUUUUCUCCAGAAUCGAAGGCUCUAUAUGUAAAGGCCUUCCGGAGAUCAAUAUCACCAACGUUGGAACUCUGUCUGCAACCAAGCUUAUUAGUUCUUCUCCGCCAAGAGGAAUUCUGAGGUCUUGGCUGUCUCCACCGCUUUCACAAUAGGGAGGUUCACCAACAACUACAAUGCAAUAAGAGAAGUCUUGACUCGCAAAGGUGUCUGGUGAAGGAUUUUCUUCAUAUACCAGUUCUGUUUCCCCUCCAACAGCAUCUUUAAUAGCUUCCAGAAUAGUUGUACCAAUCGUGAUUCUUCCGCCCAUUCCUUCCCAUGUUUUAGUCCACCCUCCACAUUGGAAUCCAAGGUCGUCAGCAUGUUUUCCUGCUACAAGAAUUCUCUUUGCCUUCCUAUCUAGCGGAAGAAAUGGUUUUGUUACAUCCUUCCCAUUCUUUAGAAGAACCAGUGAUUUGCGAACUGCUUCACGUGCUAAUUCGCGAUGUUGAUGACAACCAACGGUAUCCAACAAUGACCUAUCACUCAGAGGGUUCUCAAAAGCUCCGGAAACAAACUUAACUCUCAGGAUCCUUUCAACAGCAUCAUCAAUUCUGGUCAUUGGAAUAUUCCCAGAUUCCACAAGAUAUUUCAAAUGAUCGAGAAAUAAUUGAUACCGAAAAGGAACCAUCACCAUGUCAAUCCCUGCAUUGAUUGCUGCCAAAAUACUUUGGUCAUAGUUAGAUCCAUGAGGAUGGAAAAAUCGGUCAAUUCCUUCGGAAUCAGAAAUAACAAAGCCCUUAAAUCCGAGCUUCCCUUUCAAAACUUCAGUAAGAAGAAAGUGGCUAGAAUGCAGGUGGCUUCCAUUCCAUUUAGAGUAGGAUGCCAUUACUGUGCAAACUCCCUGAGAAAUACAGUCAAUAUAUGGGGGAAUAUGUAUUCUCUCUAGAUCUUCAUACGAUGAUAUGGUAUUUCCCUCAUUUAUACCUCGGUCAGUACCCCCAUCUCCAACAAAGUGCUUUGCACAGGCAACAACCUUGUCUCUUCCAGCUAGAAAAGGAUAGUUUUGGGGGUAUCCAGGAGGUGGUUGCCCUUGCAAGCCUGUGACAAUUGAGGUCAUCUUCCUAAUAAGUUCGGUGUCUUCGCCAUAACUCUCAUAGCAUCUUCCCCACCUGGGAUCUCUACAUACAGCAACACAGGGAGCAAAAGUAUAGUUAAUGCCACAAGCCCUGACUUCAAGAGCAGUCACAAUCCCAAUCUUCUGAACCAAGUCUGCAUCUCUGGUGGCUCCAAGG